rnacentral:rRNA from 1 species
AGAGUUUGAUCCUGGCUCAGAAUCAACGCUGGCGGCGUGCCUCAGACAUGCAAGUCGAACGAUUAAAGCUCUCUUCGGAGAGUGCAUAAAGUGGCGCACGGGUGAGUAACACGUAAGUAAUCUACCUUCGAGUGGGGAAUAACGUCCGGAAACGGACGCUAAUACCGCAUAAUGCAGCGGCAUCGCAAGAUGACAGUUGUUAAAGAUUUAUCGCUUGAAGAGGAGCUUGCGGCAGAUUAGCUAGUUGGUAAGGUAAUGGCUUACCAAGGCUACGAUCUGUAACCGGUCUUAGAGGACGGUCGGUCACACUGACACUGAAUAACGGGUCAGACUCCUACGGGAGGCAGCAGUCGGGAAUUUUGGGCAAUGGGCGAAAGCCUGACCCAGCAACGCCGCGUGAAGGAUGAAGUAUUUCGGUAUGUAAACUUCGAAAGAAUGGGAAGAAUCAAUGACGGUACCAUUUAUAAGGUCCGGCUAACUACGUGCCAGCAGCCGCGGUAAUACGUAGGGACCAAGCGUUGUUCGGAUUUACUGGGCGUAAAGGGCGCGUAGGCGGCUUUGUAAGUCACUUGUGAAAUCUCCGGGCUUAACUCGGAACGGCCAAGUGAUACUGCAAAGCUAGAGUGCAGAAGGGGCAAUCGGAAUUCUUGGUGUAGCGGUGAAAUGCGUAGAUAUCAAGAGGAACACCUGAGGUGAAGACGGGUUGCUGGGCUGACACUGACGCUGAGGCGCGAAAGCCAGGGGAGCAAACGGGAUUAGAUACCCCGGUAGUCCUGGCCCUAAACGAUGAAUACUCGGUG